UACGUAGGUGACAAGCGUUGUCCGGAUUUACUGGGCGUAAAGAGCGCGCAGGCGGUCGAUCAAGUCGAGUGUGAAAGCCCCCGGCUCAACUGAGGAGGGUCAUUCGAUACUGAUCGACUCGAAGGCAGGAGAGGGUAGUGGAAUUCCCGGUGUAGUGGUGAAAUGCGUAGAUAUCGGGAGGAACACCAGUGGCGAAGGCGACUACCUGGCCUGUUCUUGACGCUGAGGCGCGAAAGCUAGGGGAGCAAACGGGGAUUAGAAACCCG
rnacentral:rRNA from 1 species